UUUUUAAAUUUCAGGGACAUGGAUUUGCCAUUGAUGUUGGAAUCCUACGCAGCGACAAUCUUCGACACUCUGAAAUGGUUCACACACGCACGUGUAUGCUUUGAACCAAAGUUAAUAUCGCCCCUUUCCUGCGCUGAGAGAGCCUGCUUCGAUUGCUGACACCGCUGCUUGUCUAAUGGAUUGUGAGCGCCGCCACAUUCUGCCAAACAGCAUGGUAGUGCCUAGGACUUGUUUUUAGUUGCUGUCGUGCCGGCUGGCGAGAUCAACCCUGCUCCACGCGUCUGCUGCGAACUACCAUGCCAAGCAGUUAAUUGGCACUCGGCGAGUGGUGCCCGUACAGAACUUCACCUCUUCCUGGCCUUUCCAGUCCAAUUUCGCGGGCAUGUUUCAGACAAAGAAGCACAACGCUUUGUUUUGUUUCUUUCUGUACUGUGUACAUCAACGACUGCGCCUCCAUGCACUUCGGCGCCAAUGUGAAGCCAAUGUGGCCGUGCGACAAUGGACGCGACCGUGCAAAUCGUGUCAGUGCUCUGCUUUGACAAAUCUGCCCACAUGUUGGCUUCCUGUUACCACCUCCAGUCAUUUAUAAAGCGUCAUCCUCAUGAACACCUUCCGAUACGGGUAGCUUUGGCCGAGUUGUAACAUACGCAAUGCUCACCCUCCUUUCUAUGUUGGGGCUUUCCGAUAAGAUUGCCCCGCUUGAUGUGCUAUUUUGUUUUCUUUCCUUUCCUGCCAACCUUCAACUGACCGCGUAGUGCUUAAAAAUGUUUCGCAAACUGAAUAAAGGAGAUUUGUCUUCUUGA
rnacentral:lncRNA from 1 species